GGUCCAACUACCGUUUCCUUCGAUGAAAAAGGCAAUAGGUAGCUCUGUCAAACCCCGUGGAAACGCAAACU
rnacentral:tRNA from 1 species